rnacentral:rRNA from 1 species
CCUACGGGAGGCAGCAGUGAGGAAUAUUGGUCAAUGGGCUUACGCCUGAACCAGCCAAGUCGCGUGAGGGAAGACUGCCCUAUGGGUUGUAAACCUCUUUUGUCAGGGAGCAACGCCGGCUACGUGUAGCCGGACUGAGAGUACCUGGAGAAAAAGCAUCGGCUAACUCCGUGCCAGCAGCCGCGGUAAUACGGAGGAUGCGAGCGUUAUCCGGAUUGAUUGGGUUUAAAGGGUGCGUAGGCGGAAUGCCAAGUCAGCGGUAAAAUCGCGGGGCUCAACCUCGCUCCGCCGUUGAAACUGGCGUUCUUGAGUGGGCGAGAAGUAUGCGGAAUGCGUGGUGUAGCGGUGAAAUGCAUAGAUAUCACGCAGAACUCCGAUUGCGAAGGCAGCAUACCGGCGCCCAACUGACGCUGAAGCACGAAAGCGUGGGUAUCGAACAGGAUUAGAUACCCCAGUAGUC